CCCAAGUAUAUAUAACUAACCAUUAUACAACCAUAGAAGAAAUCUGAUAACUAUAGCGAGCAACAAGAUGGGCAUCAAUUGUCAAGGUUUUGCGGCGACAAUAUUUAUCUGGAGAGAAUGCAUGGGAAAACUAAAAGCUGGAAUCCCAGCCUGAGACGGGGCCCGGAAGCGGCCAAGAAAAAGGGUUACAGUAAAUCAGAUGGUAAUGUCAAAGAAGAAAAUUCACGGAUCUCGGAAGCAUUGGUCGUUAUGUCCCUGAGCCCUACAAUAAGUUACAAAGCAGCAGAACCAACAUUUUAUCCUUGGACAAUUAGACAUGAUUCGUUGUGCAAAGCAAUCUGGGACUGGAUAGUCCUAUUACUGGUCAUCUAUACUGCAAUUGAAGUUCCUUAUAAUGUUGCCUUCAUAUUACCCAUGUAUACGAAAGUUCAAUAUAAAACCACCUGGGAAAUUAUCAACUUGCACGUCGACUUUAUGUUUGUUAUCGACGUGAUCAUAAACUUUCGGACAACCUACGUGCAAGGGAGAAGCGCCAAGGUGGUUUCUAAUCCAAAGAAAAUAGCUCGCCAUUAUUUGAAAACUUGGUUCUUUGCUGAUUUCAUUUCCGCAAUUCCAUUUGACUUGUUUUCAUUGAUCAGUUCUAAAGUGGAAUAUUCGCUGCUCAGUCUUCUUAAAACGGCUCGACUCUUACGACUGGUUCGGGUUGCCAGGAAAUUGGAUCGUUACUCAGAGUAUGGAAUAGCUGUGAUUUUUCUUCUGAUGGGUCUAUUUACAUUGACUGCUCACUGGCUGGCAUGUAUUUGGUAUGCUAUAGGAAGAGUAGAAAAAGAUAAUCAUCCUGCUAACUGGAUUAAUAUUCUUUCCCGCGAACUCUCUGGCAACAAAGAUUUUGCCAACUCAACCGAUGUCACGUUGACAGAGUGCUAUCUUUCCGCCAUUUAUUUCACUCUGAGCAGUCUAACCAGUGUUGGGUUUGGUAAUGUCUCUGCUAAUACAAAUGCCGAGAAGAUCUUUGCUGUGUGUUCUAUGUUAGUUGGUGCUCUAAUGUUUGCAACGGUUUUUGGAAAUCUUACGGCAAUAAUACAACGUCUUUACUCCACUACGUCGAAGUACCACAAAGAUUUGGCCAUUGUACGAGAAUUUAUCAAUUUUUACGAGAUUCCACAGCCAUUGAGUGAUACGCUAGAGGAUUACACCAGGAAUAUUUGGGCACAAACCAAGGGAGUUAAUGUUAAGAAGGUGCUAGAGUUUUUUCCUGAAUCGCUACAAACGGACGUGUGUUAUCAUCUAAGACAAGAUCUAUUUAACACCAUUCCGGCAUUCAAAGAAGCUGACCAUUCUUGUUUGCGCUCACUGGCUAUGAAAUUUCGUACUUCUUAUUGCUUACCGGAACAAUGUGUUGUACGGCGAGGUGAUCCAAUUCAAGAAAUGUAUUUCAUAUGUUCAGGAAGUGUGGAAGUUGUAAGAGAUGGAAAAUCUAUUUUAACAUUAGGCAAAGGAGACGUCAUAAGCUGUGAUUAUAAAUCACUCAGUCAUAUUCCAAAGGCAAAUUCAGAUCUUAUAGUUCGUACAAUUGCUGAAAUACAUUCAAUAGACUAUGAAGAUUUAUUGGAAUGUCUUAGAGCUUAUCCGGAGUUUGGAGAGACAUUCUUUCAACGCCUUGAAGUGUCAUACAGUCUACAAGAAUACGAAAACGUGAGCGAAGGAAUGUCAGCACGAGCUCAUCGCUUUUCAAACGCUCGAAGUGAACUUUCCUCAUUCCAAAGAUUUCCUUCCUCAAGCAGCAUAAAGCCUCAGGCUAACGGCAGCACGUAUAUUGACAUUCAGGAAACUUCAUUUUCAACCAAACAUGAAACACAGAAAGUUACUACGGAGCAGAAAAAAGGACUGACUAAAACCUUGUCUGGUAAAAAGGAAACUAAUAAUACCAUCGGAAAAACGGUUGCAAGAAAUGAAAAUAUAGAGGAUCGUUUGAGUAAUAUUGAAAGUCGAUUGAUUGAACUAGAGAGCACUAUCACAACUAAUUUUAACGUAAUUAUUGCUCAUGUGGAGAAAAAGAAAUGUUUACAAAAUUAACGAAAUAAUGAAGUGAAUAGGAAUCCAGCUUCUUCCGCGAUUAACAGACUUUUCUGGGUCACCAAAGUGAACCACAAAAAUUACUGACAGAAAUAUACUGCGUGAUCAUAAAAUUGAAUACAUCACAUGCAAUUUCAGUGAGUGACUGAUUUUCCUUAGAAUGCACCUUUAUACAUGCAGGAAUUUCUAGCUCUGCAUAUAAAAUUCUCAUGUGGGUGUCUUCUACCCAGAUAUCCAAGAAUAUUUUUGUUGGAAAUAUAAAUUACAGUAGAUCGCAAUUAAUGUCCUGCAUUGGAUUGUAUAUAAUACGAUGUGCAUGUAUAUAAUACGAUGACCAAGUUAUUUGUAAAUAAUUUUGAAUUUAACUUAAAAUUUUAACCAAAUUUGUAGAAGCAUGGCCGACUUUUUAGGAAGGUGAUACCCGUAUACUAAUCACUGAUGUGAAUAUUGAUUAAUAUUUAUAUUGUAUAUAUACUUUUUAAAAGUUUAAAUGUUUGUGUUAGUUUAUAGUUUUGAUCAUGCAUGGAAAUACACUACUGCACCUCAGGAACUUUAGGCAUAUAGUCUUAUAGAAGGUUCUUGUAAAGCACACAGUUCAAUUAGUUCAUUUUUUGUAUCA
rnacentral:misc_RNA from 1 species